CGACGGGAGCUGCUCCCUUAGGUCAGCGGCGGACGGGUGAGUAACACGUGGGUAACCUGCCUGGUAAGACUGGGAUAACUCCGGGAAACCGGGGCUAAUACCGGAUGCUUGAUUGAACCGCAUGGUUCAAUCAUAAAAGGUGGCUUUUAGCUACCACUUACAGAUGGACCCGCGGCGCAUUAGCUAGUUGGUGAGGUAACGGCUCACCAAGGCGACGAUGCGUAGCCGACCUGAGAGGGUGAUCGGCCACACUGGGACUGAGACACGGCCCAGACUCCUACGGGAGGCAGCAGUGGUCUGC
rnacentral:rRNA from 1 species